CUACCUCAGCCUGAGAACCUGAACUUGGCCUUACUGAGAAAUGGCACUUGCUCAGACCUGCUGGGAAUUCAAGGGUCACAACAGUAGCCAGGGGACUUUCCAGGUCUAAUGGAAGGGAAGGUGGCUGGGCCAGGGCUCAGGGCUGCGUACUGGAGACCCGGCUCCUUUCAGCUCCGCACAGAGCAGAGGAUCUGGGGCCCAGGUAGACAAGUCUCUUAAUGAAGUUGGUUCUUAAUGAAGAUCUAGAUACAGGAAAUGGUUGUUCCAGAAAAAUCUCAGCAGCACCUGGCCUCUCACGAACACCAGCGCCACAAAAGGAGCCAGCACAUCUCCGACUUCCUGUGCAAGAUGCUGUGUGGAAAGACAGCGGUUUUUUCGUUAAGAUGCCAACUUGGGGCUGGCGAGAUGUCUCUGCAGGGAAAGGCGCUUGCCAGGAAGCCUAACGACCCGAGGUCGUGAGCUGGUGGGAGAGACCCAACUCCGCAAGUCAGCCUCUGACCUCCACAUUCAGGUAUUUCCUUCUCCCCCCCCCAGCCACCCCCUCCCCAAUCUCUAACGUAAAUAAAUACAGCAGGGUGGUGGUGGUGCACACCUUUAAUCCCAGCACUCGGGAAGCAGAGGCAGAACUCCCCGAGGCCAGGCUUUGGGUCCCUUUGAGAUCACGGGUCACACAAGGGUGGCACACAGCAGGUGCUCCUUCAUGAGAGAUGACUGGAUGAGCUGGUGACCAGAUCAAUUCCUGGGA
rnacentral:lncRNA from 1 species